UACCGCAAACCGACACAGGUGGGCAGGAUGAGAAUUCUAAGGCGCUUGAGAGAACCCAGGAGAAGGAACUCGGCAAACUAGCACCGUAACUUCGGGAGAAGGUGCGCCCCGGUAGGUUGUAGCAAUUUACUUGCGAAGGCCGAUGGGGUUGCAGUGAAAAGGUGGCUGCGACUGUUUAAUAAAAACACAGCACUGUGCAAACACGAAAGUGGACGUAUACGGUGUGACGCCUGCCCGGUGCCGGAAGGUUAAAUGAUGGGGUGCAAGCUCUUGAUUGAAGCCCCGGUAAACGGCGGCCGUAACUAUAACGGUCCUAAGGUAGCGAAAUUCCUUGUCGGGUAAGUUCCGACCCGCACGAAUGGCGUAACGAUGGCCACACUGUCUCCUCUUGGGACUCAGCGAAGUUGAAAUGUUUGUGAAGAUGCAAUCUACCCGCGGCUAGACGGAAAGACCCCAUGAACCUUUACUGUAGCUUUACAUUGGACUUUGACAAGAUCUGUGUAGGAUAGGUGGGAGGCAUUGAAGCGUGGUCGCUAGAUCAUGUGGAGCCAACCUUGAAAUACCACCCUGAUGUUGUUGAGGUUCUAACCUAGACCCCGAAACGGGGUUGGGGACCGUGUAUGGUGGGCAGUUUGACUGGGGCGGUCUCCUCCCAAAGAGUAACGGAGGAGUGCGAAGGUAACCUAGGCACGGUCGGAAAUCGUGCUGUUAGUGCAAUGGCAUAAGGUUGCUUGACUGCGAGACGGACAUGUCAAGCAGGUACGAAAGUAGGUCAUAGUGAUCCGGUGGUUCUGUAUGGAAGGGCCAUCGCUCAACGGAUAAAAGGUACUCUGGGGAUAACAGGCUGAUUCCUCCCAAGAGUUCAUAUCGACGGGGGAGUUUGGCACCUCGAUGUCGGCUCAUCACAUCCUGGGGCUGUAGCCGGUCCCAAGGGUAUGGCUGUUCGCCAUUUAAAGUGGUACGUGAGCUGGGUUUAAAACGUCGUGAGACAGUUUGGUCCCUAUCUGCCGUGGGCGUUGGAAGUUUGAGGGGGGCUGCUCCUAGUACGAGAGGACCGGAGUGGACAGAUCUCUGGUGGACCGGUUGUCAUGCCAAUGGCAUAGCCGGGUAGCUAAAUCUGGAAGAGAUAAGCGCUGAAAGCAUCUAAGCGCGAAACUCGCCUCGAGAUGAUACUUCCCUGUGCUUUAAGCACACUAAAGAGUCGUUCAAGACCAGGACGUUGAUAGGUCAGGUGUGGAAGCGUAGUAAUACGUUAAGCUAACUGAUACUAAUUGCUCGUGAGGCUUGAUCCU
rnacentral:rRNA from 1 species